GGCCCUAUAGCUCAGUUGGGAGAGCACCUCGAGUGCCAACGAGGAUACGCAGGUUCGAUUCCUGCCUGGGUCA
rnacentral:tRNA from 1 species